rnacentral:rRNA from 1 species
AUUGAACGCUGGCGGCAGGCCUAACACAUGCAAGUCGAACGGUAACAGGAAGCAGCUUGCUGCUUUGCUGACGAGUGGCGGACGGGUGAGUAAUGUCUGGGAAACUGCCCGAUGGAGGGGGAUAACUACUGGAAACGGUAGCUAAUACCGCAUAACGUCGCAGGACCAAAGAGGGGGACCUUAGGGCCUCUUGCCAUCGGAUGUGCCCAGAUGGGAUUAGCUAGUAGGUGGGGUAACGGCUCACCUAGGCGACGAUCCCUAGCUGGUCUGAGAGGAUGACCAGCCACACUGGAACUGAGACACGGUCCAGACUCCUACGGGAGGCAGCAGUGGGGAAUAUUGCACAAAGGGCGCAAGCCUGAUGCAGCCAUGCCGCGUGUAUGAAGAAGGCCUUCGGGUUGUAAAGUACUUUCAGCGGGGAGGAAGGGAGUAAAGUUAAUACCUUUGCUCAUUGACGUUACCCGCAGAAGAAGCACCGGCUAACUCCGUG